rnacentral:tRNA from 1 species
GCGUCUCUAGCUCAAUGGCAGAUCCACAGGCACCCAACCCGAUGACGGCGGUUCGAUUCCGCCGGGACGCUCCA